rnacentral:lncRNA from 1 species
UGUUUUUGUUUUUUCAGCUCGCGGAAGUGCUUCAGCGUUAACCCUUUCCAGACCUCUCAAUAGUCUUGUUUUGAAUAGUUAACUUUAUUUUAAUGGGGGUAAAGAUUUACAAAAAAAAAAAAAGGGAAGCAGCACGUCGGUUAAAAUUCUAGAACCAGACUGGGUUAGGAUUCCACCUCCCCUACUGAUUAGCUAAAUGGCUUUGUUUUUCUUAAGUGUCUCAGUUCCCCAUCCAUCAAAUGGGGAGAAUUGUAGUUAUACCCUUAUAAGGUGGUUGCAUUGGACUAAAUGCGUUAAUACGGAAUAAUUAAAGAGUUGAGAACAGUGCCUAGCACGAAGUACAUGACUUUAUGCUUCUUAAAGAGAAGAAAGGGAAGGAAGAGGAGACAAGGCGUUAUAAAUCAAAUGGAGAAGUCGCUUUAAUGUUCUAAGUGCAAACGGUCCUGUUAGUCUUUUCCGUGCUCUGAAAAAUUGAUGGGUGCCAUCCAUAACCACCUUAAUUUUGUCUCAAUACCCACUGGAAGUGGAGCCAGAUAAUUAAACUACUCUUCCAAUUUGAUGCCCAAAGAAUGCCUCUCUGAUGGUUACUUGGCUGCAAUGCUUUGGCCUCCUGAUGGAAGCUAUAUACCCUAAGAGGAAAUCUGAUGCCAAAAAUUGAAAGGGAGCCAAGUGGUAAUUCAGAGUGACUCUGGAGAGGCUUCUGUGUGUUUUGUCUAUCUCACUGGUGCUGUUUCAUUUUACUCAUAUCUUAUGAACAAGUACAUCUUAUUCUGAAGAGCAGCCCACACAGAAAAUACUUAAGUAUGGGAGAAGAUGCAGGGAAACAAAUUAAGAUGUCUCGAAGGAAAAAGUUUCAUCUUCCAUCUCACUAGAAAGAGAAGAGUUACAGACAUUAUUAUUGUUAUUUCAUGGACAGCAAGGAGAUCAAACCAGUCCAUCCUAAAGGAAAUCAACCCUGAAUAUUCAUCGGAAGGGCUGAUGCUGAAGCUGAAGCCCCAAUUCUUUGGCUACCUGAUGCAAAGAGCCUACUCAUUGUAAAAGACCCUGAUGCUGGGAAAGAUGGAAGGCAGGAGAAGAAAGGAACAACAGAGGAUGAGAUGGUUGGAUGGCAUCAUCGACUCAACAGACAUGAAUUUGAGCAAACUCUGAGAUGGUGAAGGACAGGGAAGCCUGGCAUGCUGCAGUCCAUGGGGUCACAGAGAUUCAGACAUGACUGAGUGACUGAACGACAACAACAAAAGGGAAAUUACUAUUAGUGGAUUCCUUUUAUUUAGUCCUAAUCUAAUAUUACGACCUUUUCCUCCAGGUCUAAGGCAUUUCCUCUCCCUUACCAUUUGAUAAAGCUAAUCUUUUUAUCUUUAGCAUACAAUUACAAGAGUCCUUUCUUCAUCUUGGCUGAUUUUUUUUCUCAAUUCAUCCAAGCCUCUCCUUCCCCCACCCUCUCCAUCCCCACCAUGUCUGCAAGUCUAUUUUCUGUCUGUAUCUCCAUUGCUUCCCUACAAAUAGGUUCUUCAGUUCCAUCUUUCUAAAUUCCAUAUAUUUAUGUUAAUACACAAUAUUUGUUUUUCUCUUUCUGACUUACUUCACUCUGUAUAAUAGGCUCUAGGUUCCUCCACCUCAUUAGAGCUGACUCAAAUACGUUCCUUUUUAUGGCUGAGUAAUAUUCCACUGUCAGAGAAGGCAGUGGCACCCCACUCCAGUACUCUUGCCUGGAAAAUCCCAUGGAUGGAGGAGCCUGGUGGGCUGCAGUCCAUGGGGUCGCUAAGAGUCGGACAUGACUGAGCGACUUCACUUUCACUUUUCACUUUCAUGCAUUGGAGAAGGAAAUGACAAACCACUCCAGUGUUCUUGCCUGGAGAAUCCCAGGGAUGGGAGAGCCUGGUGGGCUGCUGUCUAUGGCAGCAGUCACUGACAUGAAUGAAGUGACUUAGCAAUAUUCCAUUGUAUACAUAAAAUAUACAUAUAUGAAUAUUCCAUUGUACAAUAGUCCAUUGUACCACAACUUUUUAAUCCAUUCAUCUGUGAAUAGACAUCUAAG